rnacentral:miRNA from 1 species
UUCAGGGGUCCUGGGGGUCUUGGGGAAUCCCGGACAAGCCCCCAAAUGUUGUGCCCC